UGAAAUCCGGAAGAUUAGAAGCGGAAAAUGGAUCUAGUUGUUCUCCCAUGUUUGCUCAAUCCUCUCUUCCUUACAAUUUACUAAUGCAUCAGAAUCAAACUCUCACCAUUCAAAUGAACAGUUUCCAGUGAAACAGAAGGAGUCCAAGUAAACCUUUGGCCACAGUUUACAACCUGAAAACAACAAAAUUUGACAUGAAACUCAAAUUCAAUUUCUUCAUAUGAUCUCUCUUGAAGAACCAACGAACCUGAGAAAUUCACAGAACAAAAGACAAUACUUUUCUAAAUGGUGGAAGCUGCAUCAAAUUAUCAAGAAUAACUUCGUGUUUAAGUUCUUAAGACACUAAAACGAAGAAAAGUCACAAAAUUUGCAGUUAAAGAAGAUCCAAUUCUCAGAUUCAGUAUCUUAAUUCUAAGAAUUCGAUCCGUUAAAACUAUCCAAUACAAAUCACACCGAUCAAUUAGGUCUACAGUAUCCAUAUCCAAUUCCAAAUACAUACCCGAAAAAAGCAAAGAAUCCUAAAAAGGAAG